UGGGGAAUUUUGGACAAUGGGCGAAAGCCUGAUCCAGCAAUGCCGCGUGUGUGAAGAAGGCCUUCGGGUUGUAAAGCACUUUUGUCCGGAAAGAAAUCCUUGGCUCUAAUACAGUCGGGGGAUGACGGUACCGGAAGAAUAAGCACCGGCUAACUACGUGCCAGCAGCCGCGGUAAUACGUAGGGUGCAAGCGUUAAUCGGAAUUACUGGGCGUAAAGCGUGCGCAGGCGGUUUGCUAAGACCGAUGUGAAAUCCCCGGGCUCAACCUGGGGAACUGCAUUGGCUGACUGGCAGGCUAGAGUAUGGCAGAGGGGGGUUAGAAUUCCACGUGUAGCAGUGAAAUGCGUAGAGAUGUGGAGGAAUACCGAUGGCGAAGGCAGCCCCCUGGGCCAAUACUGACGCUCAUGCACGAAAGCGUGGGGAGCAAACAGGAUUAGAUACCCGUGGUAGUCCACGCCCUAAACGAUGUCAACUAGUUGUUGGGGACUUCAUUUUCCUUAGUAACGUAGCUAACGCGUGAAGUUGACCGCCU
rnacentral:rRNA from 1 species